rnacentral:rRNA from 1 species
ACGAACCGUCCGAACGUUAUUCGGAAUCACUGGGCUUAAAGGGUGCGUAGGCGGCGCGGAAAGUUGGGUGUGAAAUCCCUCGGCUCAACCGAGGAACUGCGCCCAAAACUACCGUGCUCGAGGGAGAUAGAGGUGAGCGGAACUUAGGGUGGAGCGGUGAAAUGCGUUGAUAUCCUAAGGAACACCGGUGGCGAAAGCGGCUCACUGGAUCUCUUCUGACGCUGAGGCACGAAAGCUAGGGUAGCGAACGGG